rnacentral:piRNA from 1 species
UCCAGGAAAAGAUUUGCCAUGUUGGACCAA